rnacentral:rRNA from 1 species
CGGCGAGCGAAGCGGGAAGAGCUCAAAUUUAUAAUCUGGCACCUUCGGUGUCCGAGUUGUAAUCUCUAGAAGUGUUUUCCGCGUUGGACCGCACACAAGUCUGUUGGAAUACAGCGGCACAGUGGUGAUACCCCCGUACACGGUGCGGACGCCCAGCGCUUUGUGAUACACUUUCAAUGAGUCGAGUUGUUUGGGAAUGCAGCUCAAAUUGGGUGGUAAAUUCCAUCUAAAGCUAAAUAUUGGCGAGAGACCGAUAGCGAACAAGUACCGUGAGGGAAAGAUGAAAAGCACUUUGGAAAGAGAGUUAACAGUACGUGAAAUUGUUGGAAGGGAAACGCUUGAAGUCAGACUUGCUUGCCGGAGCUUGCUUCGGUUUGCAGGCCAGCAUCAGUUUUCCGGGGUGGAUAAUGGUGGUUUGAAGGUAGCAGCCUCGGCUGUGUUAUAGCUUUCCACUGGAUACAUCCUGGGGGACUGAGGAACGCAGCGUGCUUUUUGCGAAGGUUUCGACCUUUUCACGCUUAGGAUGCUGGUGUAAUGACUUUAAACGACCCGU